rnacentral:rRNA from 1 species
UACGAGAGGCCCAAACGUUAUUCGGAAUUACUGGGCGUAAAGGGCGCGUAGGCGGCCUGCUAAGUCGAACGUGAAAUCCCCGGGCUCAACCCGGGAACUGCGUCCGAUACUGGCAGGCUUGAAUUCGGGAGAGGGAUGCGGAAUUCCAGGUGUAGCGGUGAAAUGCGUAGAUAUCUGGAGGAACACCGGUGGCGAAGGCGGCAUCCUGGACCGAAAUUGACGCUGAGGCGCGAAAGCCAGGGGAGCAAACGGG